CCGGUAAACGGCGGCCGUAACUAUAACGGUCCUAAGGUAGCGAAAUUCCUUGUCGGGUAAGUUCCGACCUGCACGAAUGGCGUAAUGAUGGCCAGGCUGUCUCCACCCGAGACUCAGUGAAAUUGAACUCGCUGUGAAGAUGCAGUGUACCCGCGGCAAGACGGAAAGACCCCGUGAACCUUUACUAUAGCUUGACACUGAACAUUGAGCCUUGAUGUGUAGGAUAGGUGGGAGGCUUUGAAGUGUGGACGCCAGUCUGCAUGGAGCCGACCUUGAAA
rnacentral:rRNA from 1 species